CAUGCUGUUGAGUCAUACAUAAACAAGUUAACGGCCUAAGGGUUAAACACUCAAAGUAUUGGAAGCCUUUGGUGAGAGAUUUUUGGAGAAGCAACUCUAUACUGGCCAACUCGAGGAAGCAGCUUUGAAGUGAUUCCCAAAUGAUAGCUUUUGGAUCACUAGCUGUGGUUCAGAGGGCCUUCCAACCCUUUCUGUAAUAUUAUUUUAGGAGCCAGAUUGGUUUUGUAGCUAGAUGUGAAAACUAAGAUUCUGGUCUCAAGUCUCUCCCACUUCCUUCCUGGAUUAACUUCAGCAGUCCCAAUUUUUCUUGAGCAAUCAC
rnacentral:lncRNA from 1 species